UACGAAGGGGGCUAGCGUUGCUCGGAAUCACUGGGCGUAAAGCGCACGUAGGCGGCUUCUUAAGUCAGGGGUGAAAUCCUGGAGCUCAACUCCAGAACUGCCUUUGAUACUGGGGAGCUAGAGUCCGGGAGAGGUGAGUGGAACUGCGAGUGUAGAGGUGAAAUUCGUAGAUAUUCGCAAGAACACCAGUGGCGAAGGCGGCUCACUGGCCCGGUACUGACGCUGAGGUGCGAAAGCGUGGGGAGCGAACAGG
rnacentral:rRNA from 1 species